rnacentral:rRNA from 1 species
UACGAAGGGGGCUAGCGUUGCUCGGAAUCACUGGGCGUAAAGCGCACGUAGGCGGCUUUCUAAGUCAGGGGUGAAAUCCCGGAGCUCAACUCCGGAACUGCCUUUGAUACUGGAAGCUUGAGUUCGGGAGAGGUGAGUGGAACUGCGAGUGUAGAGGUGAAAUUCGUAGAUAUUCGCAAAGAACACCAGUCGGCGGAAGGCGGAGCU